CCUACGGGAGGCAGCAGUGGGGAAUAUUGCACAAUGGGGGAAACCCUGAUGCAGCGACGCCGCGUGAGUGAAGAAGUGUUUCGGUAUGUAAAGCUCUAUCAGCAGGGCAGAAAAUGACGGUACCUGAUUAAGAAGCCCCGGCUAACUACGUGCCAGCAGCCGCGGUAAUUCGUAGGGGGCAAGCGUUAUCCGGAUUUACUGGGUGUAAAGGGAGCGUAGACGGGAGCACAAGUCUGGAGUGAAAUGCCGGGGCUUAACCCCGGAACUGCAUAGGAAACUGUGCAGCUAGAGUGCGGGAGAGGUAAGUGGAAUUCCUAGUGUAGCGGUGAAAUGCGUAGAUAUUAGGAAGAACACCAGUGGCGAAGGCGGCUUGCUGGACUGUAACUGACGUUGAGGCUCGAAAGCGUGGGGAGCAAACAGGAUUAGAUACCCUGGUAGUC
rnacentral:rRNA from 1 species